UACAGAGGUGGCAAGCGUUGUUCGGAAUUACUGGGCGUAAAGGGCGCGUAGGCGGUCUUGCAAGUCCUGUGUGAAAUCCCUCGGCUCAACUGAGGAACUGCACAGGAAACUGCUUGGCUUGAGUUCGGGAGAGGGAAGCGGAAUUCCGGGUGUAGCGGUGAAAUGCGUAGAUAUCAGGAAGAACACCAAUGGCGAAGGCAGCUCACUGGGACGGUACUGACGCUGAGACGCGAAAGCGUGGGGAGCAAACAGG
rnacentral:rRNA from 1 species